UCUUUCCGCCCUUUUUACUGCUAUGGUUUGGUGGUUUGAGUGGGGACGUGGCCGGGCCCAGUGUCGGCUCAACAGCCGGGGCAGCGAAGGAUGAGACGCCUCUGCGGAAGGGCAGUAGCUGAAGUGGCGGGAGAUGUGACCAGAGUGGACCAAGCUCUGAGACCCGCAGAACGAAGUGUGAGUGUGAGCUUCCCCAGGAACGUGUGCUUCUCAGGACGUAGCAGUACUCUUCUCAGAAUCCAUGUGAUAUGAAAUCAGUUACAGAACAGAAUGUCAUCACUAGCAGCCUGUAAGGAGGCCAUAAAAGACUCUUGAGAGAUUCAGAGAGAAGCCUGCAUGUGAUGGCAGUGAUGCCCUUUGGAUGACAUGUUGAAGACUUUGCUUUGAGUGACAAACAUUGUAUGGCUUUCCUUGGGUUUCAUGAAACUUGUUUGCAGUGGCUUAGCAGAAAUGUUUUAGGAUGGUGUUGUUUGACCAUAUAUUGUUUACUGUAAACAUUCUGCCAAAAGGUUUAAGUUGUAAUUAGCAUGAGAGGCUCUUGGGAUCAAAUGGUGUCUGCCUGGUAAUCAGUAGUGUUCUGACUCCUGGGCAUAGACUUGUAUACUUUGUAAAGGAAAGGUUAAAAAAAAAGGGUAAUAGCUUGCCCGAAAUUGACACUAGCAUGUGCAGAGGGAGGGUUUCUUGUCCUGCCCCCCCCCCCCCCCCAGAAUUACAAUAAGCCAUCCUUUGGUUUUCUCCCUGUCAAAAAUUCCCUGGCCAUCUUGCAUUGAACAGUGUCUUGGCAGCCUUAUCACUGCAAAGGCAGCCUCAAGUGAGGCAGAAUAAAACUUGGAGCUGAAAAAGGAAGAAUGACCUAUGGCAUUGUUUAAUUAUAAGGAGUUAUAACGCAGCAUUUCUUUUCCAAGAACAUUGCUAAGCUGUUCCGAUCAACUAAAUGAACCAUUCCGGAGUUCGGUGUUGGUGCUAAUUAAAUUUCUUAUCUGGGUGUAGAGUAGAGCCACUGAAGGCAUUGAUUGUAUUAAGCUCAUUUUAAUUAAAAUCGUCAGAAAACA